rnacentral:rRNA from 1 species
UACGAAGGGGGCUAGCGUUGUUCGGAAUUACUGGGCGUAAAGCGCACGUAGGCGGACAUUUAAGUCAGGGGUGAAAUCCCAGAGCUCAACUCUGGAACUGCCUUUGAUACUGGGUGUCUUGAGUAUGGAAGAGGUGAGUGGAAUUCCGAGUGUAGAGGUGAAAUUCGUAGAUAUUCGGAGGAACACCAGUGGCGAAGGCGGCUCACUGGUCCAUUACUGACGCUGAGGUGCGAAAGCGUGGGGAGCAAACAGG